ACUGAACGCUGGCGGAAUGCUUUACACAUGCAAGUCGAACGGCAGCACGGACUUCGGUCUGGUGGCGAGUGGCGAACGGGUGAGUAAUGUAUCGGAACGUGCCCAGUCGUGGGGGAUAACGUAGUGAAAAUUACGCUAAUACCGCAUACGAUCUAUGGAUGAAAGCGGGGGAUCGCAAGACCUCGCGCGAUUGGAGCGACCGAUAUCAGAUUAGGUAGUUGGUGGGGUAAAGGCCCACCAAGCCAACGAUCUGUAGCUGGUCUGAGAGGACGACCAGCCACACUGGAACUGAGACACGGUCCAGACUCCUACGGGAGGCAGCAGUGGGGAAUUUUGGACAAUGGGCGAAAGCCUGAUCCAGCCAUUCCGCGUGCAGGAUGAAGGCCCUCGGGUUGUAAACUGCUUUUGUACAGAACGAAAAGGUUUCUACUAAUACUAGGAGCUCAUGACGGUACUGUAAGAAUAAGCACCGGCUAACUACGUGCCAGCAGCCGCCGUAA
rnacentral:rRNA from 1 species